CCUACGGGUGGCAGCAGUGAGGAAUAUUGGUCAAUGGGCGUGAGCCUGAACCAGCCAAGUCGCGUGAGGGAUGAAGGAUCUAUGGUUUGUAAACUUCUUUUAUAAGGGAAUAAAGGUCUCGACGCGUGGCUAUUUGCAUGUACCCUAUGAAUAAGCAUCGGCUAACUCCGUGCCAGCAGCCGCGGUAAUACGGAGGAUGCGAGCGUUAUCCGGAUUUAUUGGGUUUAAAGGGUGCGUAGGUUGCUUUUUAAGUCAGCGGUGAAAGUCUGUGGCUCAACCAUAAAAUUGCCGUUGAAACUGGAAGACUUGAGUGUGUUUGAGGUAGGCGGAAUGCGUGGUGUAGCGGUGAAAUGCAUAGAUAUCACGCAGAACUCCGAUUGCGAAGGCAGCCUACCAAGCCAUAACUGACACUGAAGCACGAAAGCGUGGGGAUCAAACAGGAUUAGAUACCCGGGUAGUC
rnacentral:rRNA from 1 species